rnacentral:rRNA from 1 species
UAUUUAAUAUAAUAUUUUAACAUUUUAUAUAAUAUUAACAUAAUUCUAUUACUAUUCUGUAGUAUAUGAAAUUUUACUUUGAGAAAAUUAGAGUGCUUAAAGCAGGCUUAUGCCUUGAAUACUAGAGCAUGGAAUAAUAUUAAAGAUUUUUAUCUUUCUUUAUUGGUUCUAAGAUAGAAAAUAAAUGAUUAAUAGGGACAGUUGGGGGCAUUUGUAUUUAACAGUUAGAGGUGAAAUUCUUAGAUUUGUUAAAGACAAACUAAUGCGAAAGCAUUUGCCAAGGAUGUUUUCAUUAAUCAAGAACGAAAGUUAGNUGGGAUCGAAGACGAUCAGAUACCCGUCGUAGUCUUAACCAUAAACUAUGCCAACUAGAGAUUGGAGGUUGUUCCUUAGCGGCCGCCA